CACGUAGGGCGCGAGCGUUGUCCGGAAUUAUUGGGCGUAAAGAGCUCGUAGGCGGCCUGUUGCGUCCGCUGUGAAAGCCCGGGGCUUAACCCGGUCGGCAGUGGAUACGGGCAGGCUAGAGGUAGGUAGGGAGAAUGGAAUUCCCGGUGUAGCGGUGAAAUGCGCAGAUAUCGGAGGAACACCGGUGGCGAAGGCGGUUCUCUGGGCCUUACCUGACGCUGAGGAGCGAAGCGUGGGAGCGAACAGG
rnacentral:rRNA from 1 species